rnacentral:piRNA from 1 species
UGUUUGUUCUUACUCUCUGGAGAGG